AUACGGAGGAUGCAAGCGUUAUCCGGAUUUAUUGGGUUUAAAGGGUGCGCAGGCGGAUGAUUAAGCGUGAGGUGAAAUGCCACUGCUCAACAGUGGAACUGCCUCGCGAACUGGUUGUCUUGAAUGCUCCUGCCGUGGGAGGAAUGUGUGGUGUAGCGGUGAAAUGCAUAGAGAUCACACAGAACACCGAUUGCGAAGGCAUCUCACGAAGGGGUGAUUGACGCUGAGGCACGAAAGCGUGGGGAUCAAACAGGAUUAGAUACCCUGGUAGUCCACGCAGUAAACGAUGAUAACUAACCGCUGGGUCGUAGUGAUUCAGUGGCCAAGCGAAAGCGAUAAGUUAUCCACCUGGGGAGUACGACCGCAAGGUUGAAACUCAAAGGAAUUGACGGGG
rnacentral:rRNA from 1 species